AACGAACGCUGGCGGCGCGUCUUAAACAUGCAAGUCGAACGGCAGGAAGGGGCUUGCCCCUUCUGAGAGUGGCGGACUGGUGAGUAACACGUGGGUGACAUACCUUUUAGUUGGGGAUAGCUAUUAGAAAUAGUAGGUAAUACCGAAUGUGACCGUACCUGUUAGAGGGGUACGAGGAAAGGAGCUAAGGCUUCGCUAAAAGAAUGGCUCGCGGCCCAUUAUGCUCGUUGGUGAGGUAACGGCCCACCAAGGCGAUGAUGGGUAUCCGGCCUGAGAGGGUGAACGGACACAUUGGGACUGAGAUACGGCCCAGACUUCUACGGGAGGCAGCAGUUAAGAAUAUUCCGCAAUGGACGAAAGUCUGACGGAGCGACGCCGCGUGGAUGAAGAAUGCCGAAAGGUUGUAAAAUCCUUUUAAGCCUGAUGAAUAAGCACAGUAGGGAAUGAGUGUGCGGUGACCGUAGGGCUUGAAUAAGCACCGGCUAAUUACGUG
rnacentral:rRNA from 1 species